rnacentral:misc_RNA from 1 species
CAGAUCCAAUGCAUCUACAACCUGCCAUGAAUAUGUCAGAGUUUGGAAUAUCAUCAGUAACGAUUCUAAUUCAAUUUUAUUAAUUAGACAUGUUUGAACAAUCCUAUUAUCAAAAAGGUAAUUAUUCGAUCUCCACAAUGAGUUCGUAUCUUGUUAUUUAAAAAGGACUCGUACUCAUUUUACAAAAAGGUUUAGAUUAAUGUUUCCUAUACAUAUGCUCUUGAAACAAGGCAGUAAUUAUAAACCAUCCUGCAUGGACAUUCUUAAUUUGGGAAUGUAUUGAUUUUAGUUGUCCAUUUCUGCAGAGUUCCACCUCUUUAAUGCUUUUUGAAAAUCUUUAUGUUACUCUCAACCUUUCCAAUCUCAGUUUUCUGGUAUAACACAUUAAGCUUCUUCCAGCAAACAAAUUCAAUAUAUGGCAAUACCUUAACCAACCUAUGCAUUAAUCGGAACAUCACAGAAAUAUAAAGCAACAUAUUUCAUCCUUUCUGCAUCUUUUAUUUGUUAAGACAUCACUUGUAAUGCUGAAUAUGAAGUCAACUGGAUACUUUUGAUAAAAUAUGAUCAUGAUAUUAUGAUUAAGCAAUUGCUUCUUAUCUUUAUGGAGUGGAGGAUUAGGCAGAAAAAGUUCAAUCCUAACUUGUGGUUGAGGGGUAAAAAAAUAAAAGGAGAUUACCAAAAUGAAUUCAGAGGAAUAUUAAAAGUAACAAAAAAAGAAAUAAUGAGUAUUAGGCUAUUUUAAGAGAAGAGUUGGUAGGCAUUUCCAGGCCUAAGAGUAUGCCUUUGUAGGUGGGCUUUAAGCUUAUUUUCUAGCGCUCUAAUAUGGCUGGGUUCAGAAAACAAUAAACACACAAUUUCACGGACAUCACAAUCUCAUUGCACUCUUUAUUGCUAGACAUUAUACCCACGAUGACAAGUUGCUUCAAGCCGGUAAAUAGAGCUUUAAGAUUCAUCCCACAAAAAGACGAAAAAAGAGAGAGACCACGAGAAAGGAAAAAAAUUCAUACCUGUGAGAGUCUGUUCCCAAGA